GUUCCGGAGAGCUGUCCUCCGAGAGAAGCCGUCCUCGUCCCCAACUGCUCUCCGAUCUUCACCUUCCUCCUUCCCAGAUAUCUGUUGCUAACACUAUCUCUCCUUUCCCUGCUCCAGAACGGCAGCCAAAACAGACCGAGACUGCAGUUCCCUCCGGCCGGCCGCUCCAGCAGACCUGCGCGCCGUUCCUGCCCCCUGCUGCCGGCAGCUGCAGCUGCUCCCUGCGCGCCGCUCCUGCUGCUCCCUUCCCUUCGCUUGCUGCUACCCCACCCUGGUCCAGGCGCAUGCCGGCGCCCACUCGUGGCUGGAGAUGGAGGAACCUCCUCCGCGGUUCUUCAGGGAGACGGAUUGACGGGGGAUCAAUGGACCCGCAUUGGUCAAAUGAUUGUGACAACAACGUGUGUGAAGUGUGCGGAAAUAUUAGUUACAAACGGUCUUCUGAUCUGCGGAAAUAUUGGUUACAAACGUCUUCUGCUCUGUUGAGAUUGCAAGUUACCAUGUCCUUUUGUCUAUAUGAAUGUUCAUUUGAGGAGCGAACCUAUCUUGUGCCAAUUUAUGUUUAGCUGGGAGACCAAUUUCGUUACAAUGAUGAUGGUGAGUUCCAUCUUAAGACUUCAUGAUUUCUUUGCUGGCGGCCAUUUCUUUGUUUUCGUGCCUCUUUGAUGCAACACAGCAUGGCCAGCAGCUGCACCGCUGCAACUCCAUCCCUUGCUGCCUACAAGUGCAACACAGAAUGGAUAAGUUCACAUCUUGCCUGAUCUUUGCAGAAGGCACCGGUAGGACAAGCCUAACAUGUAGCUCAGGUGUCCAUCCCCAUCUUUCUGCUUCAGUUCUGAUGCAGUGGUGCACACCACCUGCUUGUUGUAUUGUCUGGACAAAGGAUUGCGUGCAUAUUUUCUUUGUUUAACUUCUUUUCUCAUGUUAACUUAAUCGUCAAUGUGUUUAUGUGGCAGUUGAUCUGAGGAUUCCUGAUAUGUUUCCUUGAUGUAGCUGCGUUCAGGCUGUUACCUUCCAGUUAUCUGGUAAUGUUUGCUUCUACAGAUUUGUAUGAACUGUAACACUGAAAUGGAGAUAUUUGUGUUUUGUGAACAUUUGCUUGCCUUUGUUUCCUUUCCUUAACUGGGAAUCGAUAUUCUGAUAAGUUCUUUACUAGCUUACCUUGUGUAAUUUGUUAAAAAAUAUAUAUUUAUGAAACCUAGCUCAGCUCUCUUACAUUAUUCAUUUACUGGGAAGUAACAAGAUUGGUUUUGGAUACGACCGAAUUACCAUGGGCUUGUUGUGUAAUGAUACUUGCUUAUUAUUUUUUCCACUUUUGUGGACACCUUCCUGCUACUUGCCACUUUGUUGAUACGACUUUGGAUUAUUGGCAGAUUAGCACCACGUGCACAGGCUUUUUAUGUUCCUCAGGAUGAUAUGAUCUGCGCCUCAACAAAAACAAGUUGGUAAUUCAUUCUUUCCAGUUGUUUGGUCAGUGCUGCUUAGUUUCAGGUUUGUGCAGUAGCAAAUAUAUUGCUAUGUUCUGCUCAGGCAAGUAAAUAUUGGAUGCCAUAGCCGCCGCUUUUCCGGAACUAACUUUUAUCCUUGGCUGAAGGGAAAGUGAAAAAUGAAAGUACCAUAGCAAUUUUUUUUAUGCUUGGAAUAUGGAACCACCGAACCAGCUGAUGAUUUAAGUUACAAACAGUAUCUGCAGAAACCAUGUUCCACAUGGGCUGAAGUGGAGCAGUCCAUUGCAUCAGAGGUAUUUAACGGCCUCCAUGUUUAGUUCACUAACUUAGGCUAUUACUUGCUGUCUGAUGAUGCCCUGAGUUGAAUAGUGCCCUGUUCUCCUUGUGUUGAAUAGUGCACUGUGUUUAUAGAAUCUUUACUGACUGUUCGUACUAUGGUUUCUUUCCCCUUUGACUUUUUCUUUGUGUUUUCUUAUUACUUUCCCAUAUAUUCAUCUUCAUGAUGGAUCAAGCGAAGUUUUUUAUACCCAGUUAAGAGAAUUUGAGAUAUUGGUUUCCUGAAUUUGAAAUUCCAGUCUGCCCACUUCUAAAGUGCCCAGUAAAGCAAAACUGAGGCUAAUAAGUAUUGCUAACUGACAUCAUGUAUAGGGUGCUAAUGCUGUUUCUCUUUGAAGCGGUAGAGGUUCAGAGUGCCCAAUUCAAUACUAGCUGUAUAUGAUCCUCUCAUGCUUUUGGCGGACAAUGUGUAAUCAAAUCAUGAUCUCAUCUGCUCACUAUUGGUUUGUGGGUCACUGAUGCUAAGAUUACUCUUUUCACACCAUUUGUUGGGUAGCAAGGAAAUUUGUUAAAUUCUGGUCUGUUGUUACUCCCAGGAGGGAACGCGCGUGGGACUCAGUUCCAGCAGCUUAGCGCCAGUCGCCAGUGGUACCAUCGCAUCAUGUGCCAGUAAUGUUACUCCAACACCAAAUCUCACAGGGGUCCUACCAAAAUAAGUAUUCACUGGUGAUUUGUGCCAAUUUGUGUUUAGCUGGGAGAGCAAUUUCGUUACAAUGAAGAUGGUGAGCCUUCUAGCACUGCUGGGAAGCCAAAUUACUCUUCCAUCAUUUCCUCCGGCGUUGAUAUGGUCAUGGUGGUUGCAAUUAGGUUUUAUACUGCAAUAUCAACAUUUCUGGAGGAACCGAGGAUCCUGAUGAUUUGCUAUUUCUGGAAAAAAAAACGAGGAUCCUAAUAAUUUGCUGGUUUCUCUUCGUAGGAAAUUGAUGAUUAAAUAUCACGCCACAUUUCACAUCUAGAACUACCAAGAGGUGCCUUAAAAUUUCAGGGACAUGUUAUAUAUGGUGGGAAUUACAAGUUCUGAAAUAGAGACCUUUUAGAUAUUGCAAGAUAUUGCUUUAUCGACACCUACUGCGCAUGGAGUUCAGCAAAAUGGAAAUACAAUAUGUGCAUUGGAGGCGGUGCAGCAGAUCUGAAGCCGACAAAAGGGCGGCCGGCCCCUGCUUUCCCCCAAUCGAAGCGUCCGACCAAGCCGAUUCGCCCCUCAGGCUGAGGAAGUUCCACAGCUCCCCACCCUGUCAAUUCGUCGGAAGGAGCAGCUUAGAAACUGUCGCUGAAGAGUCCACCUUGCUGCAGCAGACCACCAGCAAGGUUGCAAAUUAUGCUGGCUUGGUCCCUGUGGCUGCAUAUGCAUCUCCUACAUUAAAUUCUCCAACCGGAACUACUUGGUCAAAUCAUCAUCUGACAGGUGCAUCUUCACGGCACCUUGUUACCAGGUCAGUGAAACACAUUCGGUGAGCGGAGCAGGUGAAAUAUCAGUUGAUAUCGGUGCUGAAGCAAUUUUGCAAAUCCCUUCUGAACCAGCAGCAGAUGCAGAAUUAUCACUUGACCUACCUACUGAAACCAGCAUCCAGCUAGACUCCUUUAAACUUAACAUCCCUGUAGUGGAUGCCCUAUUAUCCUUGGCUCUCCAAAUUGCACUUGGGAAUAUAAAGAUGGAUCCACAACAUGUGUUCAUAGCUUUUGUCCUGGCCACUCUAGCAUCAGUCAUCCGGAGAAGGUUUAUUUCAUUUUCAUUCAUUGUGACCUGAAGCUACCUCACAUUCCAGCAUGGAUUGUAGCCCCUCACAUCUACAUCAAUCGCCCACACUCCCUGAGCUUGUACCCACUACAAUGGCUAUUCCUAACUCUUAGCAGCAACAUAAAGCUCUGCAUCACAUCCGGCAUGCUAAUUUGGACAAUAAACUUUGUCGGUUGUUUACCCAAUACAGGAAAAAUUAUAAAGGUCCGAGCAACCACCAACUUCUUGCUUCAGAUGCUCUUGCCAGUUCUCCUUACGGUGGCAAGCAUAAUCGAGGCUGCCUGGUUCCUGUUUGAAUACUACCUGAGAGCUGCCUACAAUUAUCUUAGAACAUCCUUUGUGCAUCGUUAGCUCAUUUGCACCUGUUUAAGUCUUCAGCUGAUGCCUUCUGCCGGAAAAUCUCUAUCAUCCUUUUGCCAUAAAGCCAUCUAUCCAUGUGUCGUUUAGCCUCAUCGCCAGCACCCUUAAUGAAGCCACAGACCGCAUUCCAUCGUCAGCAUCCAGAGUCCAGACGAUGUCCUCCUGAUGAGAUUCCUCCUUCCAUCCAGUGCAUCUAUACUACCAGCGUCUUAACUGUUAGAUGUAAUGCUUUGUUAAUUAGUAAUCACUCUGUCCUACUCCCGCUCCUAGGCUGGCCUUGUGGAGAUCAAACUGUGUACGAAGCACUACUUUCCCAAAUAUUAAUGUGCGAACCUCUUACAUCGUCACCAAAGUAGUUAUUUGUGAUUAUGAUGCCUUUCA